rnacentral:rRNA from 1 species
AACGAACGCUGGCGGCAGGCUUAACACAUGCAAGUCGAGCGCCCCGCAAGGGGAGCGGCAGACGGGUGAGUAACGCGUGGGAACGUACCCUUUGCUACGGAAUAGCUCCGGGAAACUGGAAUUAAUACCGUAUGUGCCCUACGGGGGAAAGAUUUAUCGGCAAAGGAUCGGCCCGCGUUGGAUUAGCUAGUUGGUGGGGUAAUGGCCUACCAAGGCGACGAUCCAUAGCUGGUCUGAGAGGAUGAUCAGCCACAUUGGGACUGAGACACGGCCCAAACUCCUACGGGAGGCAGCAGUGGGGAAUAUUGGACAAUGGGCGCAAGCCUGAUCCAGCCAUGCCGCGUGAGUGAUGAAGGCCUUAGGGUUGUAAAGCUCUUUCACCGGAGAAGAUAAUGACGGUAUCCGGAGAAGAAGCCCCGGCUAACUUCGUGCCAGCAGCCGCCGUAA